UACGGGGGGGGCAAGCGUUGUUCGGAAUUACUGGGCGUAAAGGGCGCGUAGGCGGCCUUCUAAGUCGAACGUGAAAUCCCCGGGCUCAACCCGGGAACUGCGUCCGAUACUGGGAGGCUUGAAUCCGGGAGAGGGAUGUGGAAUUCCAGGUGUAGCGGUGAAAUGCGUAGAUAUCUGGAGGAACACCGGUGGCGAAGGCGGCAUCCUGGACCGGUAUUGACGCUGAGGCGCGAAAGCCAGGGGAGCAAACGGG
rnacentral:rRNA from 1 species